UGACCGCUGGCGGUAGGCCUAACACAUGCAAGUCGAACGGCAGCACAGUAAGAGCUUGCUCUUACGGGUGGCGAGUGGCGGACGGGUGAGGAAUACAUCGGAAUCUACUUUUUCGUGGGGGAUAACGUAGGGAAACUUACGCUAAUACCGCAUACGACCUACGGGUGAAAGCAGGGGAUCUUCGGACCUUGCGCGAUUGAAUGAGCCGAUGUCGGAUUAGCUAGUUGGCGGGGUAAAGGCCCACCAAGGCGACGAUCCGUAGCUGGUCUGAGAGGAUGAUCAGCCACACUGGAACUGAGACACGGUCCAGACUCCUACGGGAGGCAGCAGUGGGGAAUAUUGGACAAUGGGCGCAAGCCUGAUCCAGCCAUACCGCGUGGGUGAAGAAGGCCUUCGGGUUGUAAAGCCCUUUUGUUGGGAAAGAAAAGCAGCAGGUUAAUACCCCGCUGUUCUGACGGGACCCAAAGAAUAAGCACCGGCUAACUUCGU
rnacentral:rRNA from 1 species